rnacentral:lncRNA from 1 species
GCCGUUCGGUUGGAAACCACAUUUGCAUCGCUUCCUAAGAGCUCAUUAUUUUUUCCUUCUUUUACUUACCUCUCUGCUUCCGGUCUCCUUCUCUCUCUGUUCUCCGUUAGCAAUCCUUUGGGAUCUCUUCUCCACCGACACUCACCGUCGAUUUUGGGGGAUCUCGAUCGACAUGCAAGGUAUUCGUCAGAUUGACCUUCGAUUGCUCUAAAUGAGGUUUUGUUUCUUUUUUUCCCUCCUUGAUUUUAGUAUUAUUUAUAUAAUUUUUUGUAGUUUUAUUUUCUAGAAUUAAGGAGUUUAAGCAGCCGAAUAGGGAAGCUUAGAGACUCACGCAGUA